rnacentral:rRNA from 1 species
AACGAACGCUGGCGGCAUGCCUAACACAUGCAAGUCGAACGAUGCCUUCGGGCAUAGUGGCGCACGGGUGCGUAACGCGUGGGAAUCUGCCCUUGGCUUCGGAAUAACAGUUAGAAAUGACUGCUAAUACCGGAUGAUGUCCCCCUGAGAGAUCUUGGGGACCAAAGAUUUAUCGGCCAGGGAUGAGCCCGCGUAGGAUUAGGUAGUUGGUGGGGUAAAGGCCUACCAAGCCGACGAUCCUUAGCUGGUCUGAGAGGAUGAUCAGCCACACUGGGACUGAGACACGGCCCAGACUCCUACGGGAGGCAGCAGUGGGGAAUAUUGGACAAUGGGGGGAACCCUGAUCCAGCAAUGCCGCGUGAGUGAUGAAGGCCUUAGGGUUGUAAAGCUCUUUUACCAGGGAUGAUAAUGACAGUACCUGGAGAAUAAGCUCCGCCUAACUCCGUG